GUAGGGAAUAUUGGGCAAUGGUCGGAAGACUGACCCAGCCAUGCCGCGUGCAGGAAGACGGCCCUCUGGGUUGUAAACUGCUUUUAUCUGGGAAGAAAAAGGCCAUGCGUGGCAAAUUGCCGGUACCAGAUGAAUAAGCACCGGCUAACUCCGUGCCAGCAGCCGAGGUAAUACGGAGGGUGCGAGCGUUGUCCGGAUUUAUUGGGUUUAAAGGGUGCGUAGGCGGCUGAUUAAGUCAGCGGUGAAAGACUUCGGCUUAACCGGAGCAGUGCCGUUGAUACUGGUUGGCUUGAGUGUCGGAGGGGUACAUGGAAUUGAUGGUGUAGCGGUGAAAUGCAUAGAUACCAUCAGGAACACCGAUAGCGAAGGCAUUGUACUGGCCGACAACUGACGCUGAUGCACGAAAGUGUGGGGAUCGAACAGGAUUAGAAACCCUAGUAGUCC
rnacentral:rRNA from 1 species